CCUACGGGAGGCAGCAGUAGGGAAUUUUCGUCAAUGGGCGCAAGCCUGAACGAGCAAUGCCGCGUGAACGAGGAAGGUCUUCGGAUCGUAAAGCUCUGUUGAAGGGGAAAAAGAGCGGAGAGAGGAAAUGUACUCCGCUUGAUAUUACCCUACGAGGAAGUCACGGCUAACUACGUGCCAGCAGCCGCGGUAAUACGUAGGUGGCGAGCGUUAUCCGGAUUGAUUGGGCGUAAAGGGGGCGUGGGCGGCCUGUUAAGUCUGGGGGGAAAGGUACCGGCUCAACCGGUAGGGGCCCUGGAAACUGGCGGGCUAGAGAGCAGGAGAGGGGGGUGGAACUCCAUGUGUAGCGGUAAAAUGCGUAGAUAUAUGGAAGAACACCAGUGGCGAAGGCGGCCGCCUGGCCUGUUACUGACGCUGAGGCACGAAAGCGUGGGGAGCAAAUAGGAUUAGAUACCCGAGUAGUC
rnacentral:rRNA from 1 species